AAAUAGAAUUCUGACAUUUAACUGAUCCUUCCUGAUUCAAAUCUGGAUGCCAGUACAAAAUUCAAGAAUCACAUCUACAAAAUGAUAGCUACACACUUGAGGGUUAUUUUAGCUUAGCUUGGAAAAUGACCCCACAGAUACAUACAUGCAGCAAUCUCCACUGCAGCACUGUCAGGAGGGAGAACUGCAAAUAUCUAGCAAUCUACAUUGAAUAAAACAUAUCAUCAAACUACACAGAAGAUGAAGCAGUUAUAGCUCAAAGAUGCCUAAGUACCUCGCCAAAGGUUACAGAGCUAUGCAAGUGAUGGGGCCAAGAUUAAAACCUAGGACUGCUUGACCACAAAACUGAAGACUUCCAAUUUCUUAAUUGAUACCUUUAAAGACAGCCUAAAUCUUCUAAGAUAUAACCUCACUGACAAGAAAAACAUACCUUUCUCAUCCUAAGGAUUGUGAGAUUUGGUCUUUCACUUCAAAAUCUAGCUAAACCCAAACAUCAAAACCUUGGGCUUCUGGUUUUGCCUUCAUGCCUGAAAAGACCUUAUGGAGAUUAGGUUUCCAGUGGAAAAGAGAGAGAGAGAGAGAGAGAGAGAGAGAGAGAGAGAGAAAUCUUUUCCAUCUGCUGUUUCUGAGGCAAAGGGGUGGGGGGGGGGGUACUAAAUGGCUGCACUUGAUACAGUGGGAAGCUGGAAGUAAAUCCCCCUCUGCUCCUGCCUGGCUUCAAGGAUUUCUGCAGAAGCUUCUGGGGAACAUAUUCAAAGGUGUUGCUUUGAAUUCUGCUCCAUCAAAUGAGAUGAAAGAACAGUUAUUUCAAAUAACUCUUUUACCAUCACCAGUUAUUCGGGACUAAGGUGGUUCAACCUUAUUAGUAAAUGUCCUAUGAAAGAUAAACUUGGAUGGCCAAAAAAUCGAGAGUCAAGUCUCCUGGAAAAUUCAGUGAUCCCCUGCAUGGGUAAUCUCCCAGGGCAUCAGGUGAAAUGUAUUCUCACGUGAUGAGGCUCCAUUGAAACAAAGGCAACAAAUAGUUCACUGUGUGGAGGUUCCCCUGUUACAAAGGUACAAAAUCCAUAAACAUGUACUCAAGCAAAUAUAAGGAGAAUAUUACCAAAAUAUUAGAGAAGAUACCUGUUUCCUUAACUAGUGUAUCCUUUUAAAAAAAAUCACUAAUUGAGAUAUAACUGCCCUGUUUGCUGAAGAACCAUAUGAAAUAUAAAUAAACAGCACUUGAUGUCACCUAAGAU